CCAAGUGGAUAAAAGGAGUUGAACUUUUUGGAUCCAACUAAAAUUAGGGUUGCAUUAUACAUUAAGCGAAGAAACUUAAUAAGAUGUAGUACACCUGCAGUUUGAAUUCCUAUGCCGCCAGGCUGCAUUCCGGCAACCCUGACUUUCACAAAAAUAAGGGAUAUCAUUAACAGAUACAUAAUGAUGCAGAGCAGAAAAUAAGAUGAUCAGCGAAGCGUAGAAGGAAACCUGGAUUAGAAGGGGAAAAAGUCCCAAUGGUACUUAAACUUUUAUCCAGGUAAACUUUAAGCCCUCCAACAAUUAGAAGUAAACUUUUGAUUCCCGAUCUAUCAAAAAUGCAAAAUAUUGGUCCUUCCGUCAAUUCCAGCAGUUGAGAAUGACAGAAAGCAACAUCACAUGCGAUGCACGAGGAAUUAGCAGGGGCAUUCUUGUCUGCCCACGGGAUUCUGCCAAUAAUUUCAACAAGAAGAACAAGCAGAAUCAUCACCACCAUCGUCGAACUAAGAAGAUGAUAUUCUUUCACAGAAGAUGUGCACCAUUUGCCUAGACCACAUAGAUUUAAAGCUCAAGGUGAGGUAGCUUUUCAGGUCCACUCAUGUCUUCCACAGAGAUUGCCUAGAUAAGCAGUCGAUUCCAGUUAAGUUGCUUGCCCACUCAGUAGAUCUUUGUUGUUGUCGUCACCAAUCUCAACAGAUGUGUUCUUGCCGUUGCCAUCGGAGAUCCACCUCUAGCCCCACUCUAGCACAAUGUUUCCUUAAUUACCAGUUGACUUUUCUUUAUUUCCUUUUUAUUUUUUGGAAAAUUUUAAAUCUCUGUUUCUUAGACAUCAUCCACACAUGAAAAGAUGAGGUAGUUUUAGAUCUGUAACUAAUUGUUACUGAUACGAUUUAGUACAAACACCCCCCCUUUUCUCCCUAUUCAAA
rnacentral:lncRNA from 1 species